rnacentral:tRNA from 3 species
GCUGUGAUGGUGUAGUGGUUAGCACGGUGGGUUGUGGUCCCGCCGGUCCGGGUUCAAUUCCCGGUCACGGCCCCA